UCUUCCGCAAUGGACGUAAGUCUGACGUAGCAACGCCACGUGAGUGAUGAAGGUUUUCGGAUCGUAAAGCUCUGUUGUUAGGGAAGAACAAGUACCGUUCGAUUAGGGCGGUACCUUGACGGUACCUAACCAGAAAGCCACGGCUAACUACGUGCCAGCAGCCGCGGUAAUACGUAGGUGGCAAGCGUUGUCCGGAAUUAUUGGGCGUAAAGGGCUCGCAGGCGGUUUCUUAAGUCUGAAGUGAAAGCCCCCGGCUCAACCGGGGAGGGUCAUUGGAAACUGGGGAACUUGAGUGCAGAAGAGGAGAGUGGAAUUCCACGUGUAGCGGUGGAAUGCGUAGAGAUGUGGAGGAACACCAGUGGCGAAGGCGACUCUCUGGUCUGUAACUGACGCUGAGGCGCGAAAGCGUGGGGAGCGAACAG
rnacentral:rRNA from 1 species